AUCGCUUCUCGGCCUUUUGGCUAAGAUCAAGUGUAGUAUCUGUUCUUAUAAGUUUAAUAAAAUAUUAACUGAUAUUUUCCUGGUAAAUGGUCAUAUUGCCUGUGAAAUACUU
rnacentral:snRNA from 1 species